rnacentral:rRNA from 1 species
CAUAUCAAUAAGCGGAGGAAAAGAAACUAACAAGGAUUCCCCUAGUAACUGCGAGUGAAGCGGGAAAAGCUCAAAUUUAAAAUCUGGCAGUCUCUGGCUGUCCGAGUUGUAAUCUAGAGAAGUGUUAUCCGCGCUGGACCGUGUACAAGUCUCCUGGAAUGGAGCAUCAUAGAGGGUGAGAAUCCCGUCUUUGACACGGACUGCCAGGGCUUUGUGAUGCGCUCUCAAAGAGUCGAGUUGUUUGGGAAUGCAGCUCAAAAUGGGUGGUAAAUUCCAUCUAAAGCUAAAUAUUGGCGAGAGACCGAUAGCGAACAAGUACCGUGAGGGAAAGGUGAAAAGAACUUUGGAAAGAGAGUUAAACAGUACGUGAAAUUGCUGAAAGGGAAACGCUUGAAGUCAGUCGCGUUGACCAGGGAUCAACCUUGCUUUUGCUUGGUGUACUUUCUGGUUGACGGGUCAGCAUCAAUUUUGACUAUUGGAAAAAGGUCAAGGGAAUGUGGCAUCUUCGGAUGUGUUAUAGCCCUUGGUUGUAUACAAUGGUUGGGAUUGAGGAACUCAGCACGCCGCAAGGCCGGGUUUUUAACCACGUACGUGCUUAGGAUGCUGGCAUAAUGGCUUUAAUCGACCCGUCUUGAAACACGGACCAAGGAGUCUAACAUGCCUGCGAGUGUUUGGGUGGAAAACCCGAGCGCGUAAUGAAAGUGAAAGUUGAGAUCCUUGUCGUGGGGAGCAUCGACGCCCGGACCAGACCUUUUGUGACGGUUCCGCGGUAGAGCAUGUAUGUUGGGACCCGAAAGAUGGUGAACUAUGCCUGAAUAGGGUGAAGCCAGAGGAAACUCUGGUGGAGGCUCGUAGCGAUUCUGACGUGCAAAUCGAUCGUCAAAUUUGGGUAUAGGGGCGAAAGACUAAUCGAACCAUCUAGUAGCUGGUUCCUGCC